GGAUGUGAGGGCGAUCUGGCUACGACAUCUGUCACCCCAUUGAUCGCCAGGGUUGAUUCGGCUGAUCUGGCUGGCUAGGCGGGUGUCCCCUUCCUUUCUCACUGUUUCAUGUGCAUCCCUCCGGAAGAUGGCCUUCCCCAAGUAGAGACAGACCGGUCUUCGGUCAAGGGUAUAUGAGUAGCUGUGCUUGCCUGCUAGAACCUCCAAACAAACUCUCAAAUGUGGAUGGUUUCACUCCUAUGUUUAGUUUAGUUUAGAGAUCUGAUACACAUGAACUUGCAAAAAACAAAAACU
rnacentral:snRNA from 1 species